ensembl:snoRNA
UGAAUACAAUGAUGACUGCAUAGUUCAUCAGACUAGCAAUGGUGAACAAUCUUUCGCUCCUAUCUGAUAUAUCAA